AACGCGAAGAACCUUACCUGGGCUCGAAAUGUAGUGGACUGAGGUGGAAACAUCUCUUUCUCGCAAGAGACUGCUAUAUAGGUGCUGCAUGGCUGUCGUCAGCUCGUGUCGUGAGAUGUUGGGUUAAGUCCCGCAACGAGCGCAACCCUCAUCUUCAGUUGCCCCCGGGUCAGGCCGGGCACUCUGAAGAAACCGCCGGUGACAAGCCGGAGGAAGGCGGGGAUGACGUCAAGUCCUCAUGGCCCUUACGGACUGGGCUACACACGUACUACAAUGGUGGUGACAGUGGGCAGCGAAAGCGCGAGCUGGAGCUAAUCCCCAAAAGCCAUCUCAGUUCAGAUUGCACUCUGCAACUCGAGUGCAUGAAGUUGGAAUCGCUAGUAAUCGCAGAUCAGCACGCUGCGGUGAAUACGUUCCCGGGCCUUGUACACACCGCUA
rnacentral:rRNA from 1 species